GUGGCGAACGGGUGAGUAACACGUGAGCAAUCUGCCCUUGACUCUGGGAUAACUGCGGGAAACUGUAGCUAAUACCGGAUACUUUCCUCGCUGGGCAUCCAGCGGGGAAGAAAGAAUUUCGGUCAAGGAUGAGCUCGCGGCCUAUCAGCUAGUUGGUGAGGUAAAGGCUCACCAAGGCGACGACGGGUAGCCGGCCUGAGAGGGUGACCGGCCACACUGGAACUGAGACACGGUCCAGACUCCUACGGGAGGCAGCAGUGGGGAAUAUUGCACAAUGGGCGAAAGCCUGAUGCAGCAACGCCGCGUAAGGGAUGAAGGCCUUCGGGUUGUAAACCUCUUUUAGCAGGGAAGAAGCGAAAGUGACGGUACCUGCAGAAAAAGCACCGGCUAACUACGUGCCAGCAGCCGCGGUAAUACGUAGGGUGCAAGCGUUGUCCGGAAUUAUUGGGCGUAAAGAGCUCGUAGGCGGUUUGUCACGUCUGCUGUGAAAAUCCGAGGCUCAACCUCGGACUUGCAGUGGGUACGGGCAGGCUAGAGUGCGGUAGGGGAGAAGGGAAUUCCUGGUGUAGCGGUGGAAUGCGCAGAUAUCAGGAGGAACACCAAUGGCGAAGGCACUUCUCUGGGCCGUAACUGACGCUGAGGAGCGAAAGCGUGGGGAGCGAACAGGAUUAGAUACCCUGGUAGUCCAC
rnacentral:rRNA from 1 species